CAUCUUGCAAACUCGAGUCUGGGAGAACGGGAAGAGGGUUGCUACGGAGGGAGACAGGGAACGUCUCUGUUGUAGAUGUGAAGGGUGAAUAUCUGUUGUUCAUGUGAAAUGGAAGAAAGGGACAGAUGGUGAAGAGGAGAAAAGGAAAAACUGGUGGGCUUACAAAAUGUGCAUGUACUCUAACCUGAGGUUCAGCGUCAUUAUGUCAGAUAUUCAGACUUAAUUGGAUGCUAAGGUACACUAAUCUGCUAAUAAAAGAAACCAGGUUCUAAAAACAAACCUGACUGAUGCAAUUACCUCCUCUGUCACCACCAAAUGAGAAAUCUGUCUAAGAAGUUGCCAGUUUCGAACAGAGAAGCAUGUUUCUUACAUGUCUGCUAUGAACAACAAGGGUCAACCAUCUAAUGUUGUUUCUCACACAUAGAGUCUCCUACCCCAAAGCC